CCUACGGGCGGCAGCAGUAGGGAAUCUUCCACAAUGGGCGAAAGCCUGAUGGAGCAACGCCGCGUGGGUGAAGAAGGUCUUCGGAUCGUAAAACCCUGUUGUCAGAGAAGAAAGUUCGCUAGACUAACCGUUCACGUUUCGACGGUAUCUACCCAGAAAGCCACGGCUAACUACGUGCCAGCAGCCGCGGUAAUACGUAGGUGGCAAGCGUUAUCCGGAUUUAUUGGGCGUAAAGGGAACGCAGGCGGUCUUUUAAGUCUGAGGUGAAAUCCUUGGGCUUAACGGGGGUAGUGCAUUGGAAACUGGGAGACUUGAGUGUAGAAGAGGAGAGUGGAACUCCAGGUGUAGCGGUGAAAUGCGUAGAUAUAUGGAAGAACACCAGUGGCGAAGGCGGCUCUCUGGUCUGUAACUGACGCUGAGGUUCGAAAGCGUGGGUAGCAAACAGGAUUAGAUACCCUAGUAGUC
rnacentral:rRNA from 1 species